ensembl:lncRNA
AGGAUAUCAUAGCGUGGCUCAAGCACGUUGAUCAUAGUUUAAACCCCUUGUUUUGCACAACGGAAUACGCCCUCCCGUCUGCAGCUAAACACCCCAGUAGCUUUUGUAAUAGCUUUAGCCCGGUCGGACUGGGCAGCAAAUACCGCAAACUCCUCUGCUUCUCCACUUUGACCGCUAGCGCUGGCCAUAACUAUCGCUUGACAGACCCACCACGCGGACCAUACACAUACUUUUUUUUUUUUUUUUUUUUUCGAAUCUUUGGAUCACGUCCGUGCUGAACCGUGGAGUGGGAUCGGCUCGGAUUACGGAUCAACCGUGAUCCGUUGCACCACUAGUCAGCAGAAUCACUAUACAUGCAUAUCCUCUGGAUUAGUAUUCAAAGUUGUCAUUUUAGAGGCAGGAUUCAUCCUCUCAUGCACUGCUACUUACGAGAGGCGUUUUCAACAGGUAUUGUCAUCCUCUCACGAGGCGCUCCAGUAUGUCUCUCUGUCAUUGUGGCAGUCUGUCACAAAGUUUAUUAUAGUUAGAUGACUGCUCAAAAAAAUCGAAUGAUGAAGAAUCCAUGAAUCGUACUAUCAUCACAUAACCAGCACUGGCCUUGUCUUCCAAUCCUUCUGUUUUAAUGUGUCUAAAGGAUGUCUCUGUUUUAAUCAUUCACACAGAUAAUGAGAAUUUGUAAUAGUUUUCAUGGACAGCAGAUCUUUUUGUGUCUUUCUCCAGAGAUCUUGUGAGGCAGAGAGAUGGCAUGUAAGGACUCCCAAUUUAAAAUCUGACAUUUAUGGAAUUAAAGGAAACCUUUUCUUUGAUAUUUAUCUAUAUGUGAAGUUUUGAUAGUGACUUUUUAAAAUAAAAUUAGUUUAGGAACUACUCAAAUAAGUGCCUAGUGGCAUUUAAAGAUCACUGGCAAGGCUUAUACUUCUUGCUCUAAGACUUUAUUACAAAAAAUAUUCAUGUUGAAAAUGGUGGUGUAAAGACUCUGAUUGUGUUACGCUGGUAACAAAUUGCUAUCAAAAUGCACAAAGUGCCAGGAUGUAACAGGAUACUUUAAGUUCAGUUGUUUUGGCAGAAAUCCAAAUCUGAAUUUGAGUCCAAUGCCAAAAAUGAGGUAUUUGUUCCUUAGUCUAUUGUCACAUUUCGGUCAGUUUGUUUAUUUAACGUGCCAUGCUGUGUUCUGCCUUUUCUUCAGUGUGGGUGUGAAAUCGUUUCCACUUUUUCUGUCCGUCAUCCCAAUAAUGUAAAAACUACUAACUUGAAUUUCAUGGAACUUGGUGGAGAGGGAGAAAAAAUGUAAUCUGGUGCCUUAAUUCUUUUUAUUUGUUUAUUUUUACUGUUUGUAUUCCUGUAGUUAUUAGAACAGGAUGCAUUUCAAGGCCAGCUCAGUUAAACCCGUUCUGCCGGCUCGUCAGGCUUUAAAAGUAUCGUUUGACCAAAGUUUUAUCUUCAGAAUGCCACGUCCAGGAACAUCUGAUGAACACAGGGAAUUAUAUUUUUUUUAAAUUCAGGACCACUCAGCUUUACAGCUUUCAUUUGCUUUGUCGGGUUUAGAGUUUUCUCAGUUUAUAAAGACGCACUGUUUCAUAUACACUAUGCAUAUUUGACUGUUUAUAUUUGCAUGAUUAAACCAGGCAUAGGAAAACUAUGCGUAUCAACCACUUACCUCCAUCACUGUUUUGGCAAACUGUGUUUAAUUGUUGUGUUUGGGACAUGUUUACUCUAAAUAUUGUUUAACCUGUUGCUCCUUCACCAUCCUGAUCCUGCGUAGAUCAUUAAUGCACAAGUCUCAAAAAGGCCAUCGUUUUGCUUAUAUUCAAAUAUAAAUAGGUCUUUAGUUUAUUCAGAUUGUGAAUCUAAAAUCACUGAAUUGAACCUGAAUUUGUUGAGGGAGGAAAAUGUACUUUAAAAAAAAAAAAAAGAUGUUUGCUUACAAGCAGAGGGUCACACGUGGUUUAGACAAAUGUUUGUCUUAAAACGAUUAAUAUAUAUGUUCGUCUGACAUCUAAACCAUCAUAGGUGGUAUCCUGGGCUGUUUAAACUGGGGUGAUCAUUGAUGAUGAUCUAGACCUCACAAGGCAAAUGUUUAACUCUGCACUUUAUUAAAUGUGUGACAUUUUCAAAUACUAUCUUCCAUUAAAAUUGUUAUUCUCUGAAGACUUUUCUGUUGACUUUAUUAAAAUGUUUUCUCUUCAGUUCUAUAGUAUUCAUCAAGCAUCUUAACCCACUUCUAAAUUCUUCAUGUUUUGCUUCUUUUGUGUUAAAGAAUAAAGGUGUUUAUACCAAGUACUAACUUUCAAACCUCGGUAAAAUUGUACAAACACAGUUUUUCUGCACCUAUUUCCAUUUUCCUGGCAAAAUAUAAAGGAAAGAGAGGCAGCGCCAGACUUUUGCACUGUAUGUCAUUAGUAGCAAUCCCUGAUUCGCUUCAGAAAUCAAGUUUCCAGGACUCAAAACUGCUACUGCUCUCGUUCCAUGUAAUAUAAAGAGCAGCCACAAGGUGGCACUACAGGAUCAGUCCUGCAGCAUCAGCUGUAUUUGUCAGUCAGGCAGGUCGACUAUUAAAUGUUUUUAAAUGACCAAAUAUUUGUGUGAGUGACGCUGCUUCAAAUAUUCAGCAUGUACUGAACCUGCUACCUCUGAAGUAAACACAUUUUAC